GAUGAACGCUGGCGGCGUGCCUAAUACAUGCAAGUAGAACGCUGAAGGAGGAGCUUGCUCUUCUGGAUGAGUUGCGAACGGGUGAGUAACGCGUAGGUAACCUGCCUGGUAGCGGGGGAUAACUAUUGGAAACGAUAGCUAAUACCGCAUGACAACAGUUAUUGCAUGAUAACUGUUUAAAAGGGGCAACUGCUCCACUACCAGAUGGACCUGCGUUGUAUUAGCUAGUUGGUGAGGUAACGGCUCACCAAGGCGACGAUACAUAGCCGACCUGAGAGGGUGAUCGGCCACACUGGGACUGAGACACGGCCCAGACUCCUACGAGAGGCAGCAGUAGGGAAUCUUCGGCAAUAGACGGAAGUCUGACCGAGCAACGCCGCGUGAGUGAAGAAGGUUUUCGGAUCGUAAAGCUCUGUUGUAAGAGAAGAACGAGUGUGAGAGUGGAAAGUUCACACUGUGACGGUAUCUGACCAGAAAGGGACGGCUAACUACGUG
rnacentral:rRNA from 1 species